rnacentral:rRNA from 1 species
UACGGGGGGAGCAAGCGUUGUUCGGAUUUACUGGGCGUAAAGGGCGCGUAGGCGGUCAGCACAAGUCAGUUGUGAAAUCUCCGAGCUUAACUCGGAAAGGUCAACUGAUACUGUGCGACUAGAGUGCAGAAGGGGCAACUGGAAUUCUCGGUGUAGCGGUGAAAUGCGUAGAUAUCGAGAGGAACACCUGCGGCGAAGGCGGGUUGCUGGGCUGACACUGACGCUGAGGCGAAAGCUAGGGGAGCGAACGGG